UACGAAGGGGGCUAGCGUUGCUCGGAAUCACUGGGCGUAAAGCGCACGUAGGCGGAUUGUUAAGUCAGGGGUGAAAUCCUGGAGCUCAACUCCAGAACUGCCUUUGAUACUGGCGAUCUUGAGUCCGGGAGAGGUGAGUGGAACCGCGAGUGUAGAGGUGAAAUUCGUAGAUAUUCGCAAGAACACCAGUGGCGAAGGCGGCUCACUGGCCCGGUACUGACGCUGAGGUGCGAAAGCGUGGGGAGCAAACAGG
rnacentral:rRNA from 1 species